rnacentral:pre_miRNA from 1 species
UGUGGGUGUCCGUUGCGGUGCUACAUUCUCUAAUCUGUAUCACCGGGUGAACACUUGCAGU